GGGGGGCUUUUCCCAGAUACCGUCAUUGCUUCUUCUCCGGGAAAAGAAGUUCACGACCCGUGGGCCUUCUACCUCCACGCGGCAUUGCUCCGUCAGGCUUUCGCCCAUUGCGGAAAAUUCCCCACUGCUGCCUCCCGUAGGAGUCCCCCCGUGCCCCCGCCCCGCCCGCCGCGCGCGGCGGGGGGGGGGGGGGCACGGGGGG
rnacentral:rRNA from 1 species